CGGAGCCUACGGGGGGCAGCAGUGGGGAAUAUUGCACAAUGGGGGAAACCCUGAUGCAGCAACGCCGCGUGAGUGAAGAAGUAUUUCGGUAUGUAAAGCUCUAUCAGCAGGGAAGAAAAUGACAGUACCUGACUAAGAAGCCCCGGCUAACUACGUGCCAGCAGCCGCGGUAAUACGUAGGGGGCAAGCGUUAUCCGGAUUUACUGGGUGUAAAGGGAGCGUAGACGGCGGCGCAAGUCAGCAGUGAAAGCACGUGGGUCAACCGCGG
rnacentral:rRNA from 1 species